GCGCGCCUGGGCAUCGGAAGUGUCUCUCGAAUGUCUUCAGCGCAUGCUUUCAUGGCAGUAACCGUCUGUGGCUGUCUCUGAGUUCUGUCGAAGCAUUUAACAAACUGUUCUUUGGAAAAGAGUUCUUAAGAGUUGGAAGGGCCUUUGGCUCUCACCUCGCCCAGAUCCAGGAGAACCGAAAAGAAAAGGAAAAAAAUCACUGCUUUAGCCCGCGUGCUGGAGGUGGAGUAUCCAGGCGCGCCUGAGGCCGGUCAGACUUGUAAUGAGGCUGACAUUAGCGGACCACCUAUAGUGAGCCGGGCUAGUUGCAAUUCUCUCCGCAACCCUGUAGGGAAAAGGUGUUGCCCCAUUUCGCUGAUAUAGAAAUUGAGGCUUAGAAAGCGUGAUUAAGGUGACUGGUCCAAAGAUUUGGGACUUGCAAGUGUUCCGGAACCUGGUUCAUUCUGCCGGUCGCAUGGAAAGCCAGCCAAUCACCAAGACAAGGAGUUUGCAGCGAGAAAGCGUUCAUUCCCCAGGCAGCCAAGAGAGGAGAGGGGAAAACAAAUCUCAAAUCUGCCUCCGACAAAAUGGGGAUUCGGGCUGUUUAUGGGGUAGCGGUCAGGAUGGUCCAAUGGCUGCAUAGAUGACUGGAGGUGUCACAAGGUGGUGGCUGGUAUGCUGAGCGGAAUCUGUCAAAGACCCCAACCCUCUCCCAGGCUGGGUUAGGGGACCCUGGGGGUACUGGAAAUGCACUGGUCAGAAACUGCAGAUACUGGAAGAUUCACUGGGCUCCAGAAGAUGAGACACUUCUCAUAGAAAUAUUACUAUUUUUAAAAAGUCCCUUACUGAUCAAGAAAUUAAAGCACAGAGAGUCUCUAACAGCUUGCGCAAAGUCUCAGGGUUAGUUAGUGGCUGUCUGAUCUGGAAGCUCAGACUCUGAACCACAAUGUUCUCUCUGCUGGUUACUCUUAUGGUGAGCAGAGAACCAAGGACAUGGAUAUUGUGAAAAUAUACAGAGUUUCUGGUAAGUAAUACCUUUUUAAAAAAUAAAUCAGAAAACAAAUAUUGUAUCAAAAAAUCAAACACCAUAUUAUUUUAAUCCAAAUGAGUCUAAUCUAUGUUAAAUUGAAUUUAGAUAAAUGAAUUUGCUAUAAAUGGAAAAGGACCGCGGAUUAGAGAGGUACUGAUGGAAAACUUUCAGGAAAAUAUAUUUAAGGGUCUAAGACCAUCUGACGUUAAUAUUUGGAGAUUUUUAUUUUCUUAAAGUAAACAGAUGAAAUUAAUGAAUUGUAAUUAUUGGUUUUUUUAAACUGUAGUAAAAUACGCAUAAAGGAAAAUUUACCUUCUUAACUGUUUUAAGUGCACAGUUCAGGAGUGUUAAGUUGUGCGUUCAAUCUCCGAAAGUCUUUUCAUCUAGCAAAACUGAAACUCUGUACCCAUUAAAUCAUGGUUCCCCAGUCCUCCCCCCACUUCGUCACUGGCAACCACUAUCUUACUUUCUGUAUCUGUGAAUUUGACUACUCGAGGUACCUCAUAGGAGUCAAAUCACACAUGAUUUGUUUUUCUGUGAGUGGAUUAUUUCGCUUGCUGUAACGUCCUCAGGUUUCAUCCAUGUUGCAGUGUGUGUCAGUUUCCUUUUUAAAGCUGAGCAGCACAGCAUUAUACAUGUGCACCACGUUUUGUUUAUUCCUUCAGCUGUUGAUGGACAGUUGGGUUGCUUCCAGCUUUUGCUUUUGUGAAUAAUGUUAUAUACCCAGUACAUACCCAGUUGUCGAUUACUUUUAACCAAUUUCUCCAAAUAUUUGUGAGUCUCUUUCCAAGAAGAUAAGCUGUAUGUUGUAAGAAAUGAGGAGAAUAGAUAAUUUCUGCAAAUUUUCUGGGAAAAAACCUCUCUUGAUCUACAAAUUGUAUGAGCUAGCUUUCCAUUUUCUACUGGAAAAAUAAGACUAGAAAAUAAUUGUCCUUCAUUGAACCAAUUGAGUUAAGAGAGUUAUGAUAACUAUUCUCACAGGCCCAUAAUUUCUGCCCCAGAGUAAGUCAAAAGGCUAUGAGUACCUGCCCGCUUUGGAUGGGGAUGAUGUCCCACCAGGGUGAAGACAUUCAGCUGGAAAGCAUGGUGCUCCCUUGGUCAUCAAUUUUCAAUUAAAUAAGGAGCGCCAUCCAAACAACCGAAGAGUACCCCUUCAGGCAGAGAGCUGGAAGCAGUGUGGGCAAUAUCUGAAUUUUGCCUAGUAUAACUUUGUUUUGGAAUGAAGGGUCCACAAAAACCCUUUGAUCCAGUCGCUGACCUCUGAUGUCCUGCAAUUUCUAUCUCUUUUCAAUUAAAGGAGCUGAAGUUUGGUCUGAGAAGAGACAUACCUUCUUGUUUUGCAGGUCUUAGGACAAGGGAAGUUGAGGAAUCUUUUCUUUUUUCCUCCCCUCAAAAAGAGGAUCAAAGUCAGUACUAGUUCAUGUGGCACAUUUUUAUUUGAAUUAGAAAGGAUGACACAGCUGGGCAUAUGCAGCCCCAUGAGCACAUGGCUUAGCCAGCACCUGGCUUAGCAAACUGAGCUGGCUGGACCUUAGCCCCUACUUGUCCCUUUGCCCAGCAGUGCUUAGAUAAUGAAUAUUCUUACACAACUGUACUUGUUCCAAAACAUUCUCGUGGGCCCAAGUGCCAGGUACAUUGUGAGACUGAAUAAAUGUUCACAAUGCAAAGUGCUUGUUAUUUGGCUCAGCAAACAGCAAGAAACUAUUUGUAUAGGCAGACCCCGAAGAGUUGGAGACGGGAGCUGCCAUGUGGACUGGAGUGGUCAGGGAAGGCCUUAGGAAUGUGGAAAGAAUGUGGGUACGUGGGGAGUAGGGAAAGAUGCUCUAUUUUUAAAAGAUAUUUUAUCUACUUUUAUGAGUGAAAGUCCAGACUACAGGGCAAAUCGUGGGCUUUAAAUCAGUAGUAUGCACUAUUGUGGGAAAUACACCAUAGUAUGCACUAUUGAUCUUCUUUAAGAACUCCGUAGAAGAUAGACAGCUCUAAAGUUAUAUGUUUUUCAGAGAGUCCUACUGUAUAAUGUAUUCAAGGGAAUAAGGACUCAGCAGAAGGAUAUAUUUUUAAAGAGAAAUAGUAGAUAAGACAUGAGAUGAUCCAUGGGCUGUUUCACCUUUUCUCUCACUGAUGGGUAUUUAAAGGCAAUAAAUUCCUUCUUGACUCAAAUAAAGUAAUGGCAGAUACACCAAAGGCCACAAAUCUUGUUAAUGUAACUGGGGUUAAUUUGCUUAAUUGUGGAUUUCUAGGCAGUGAUUUCUUAAACUUUGUACUCAGCUUUAUUAGUUUUUAGAAGCCAGGAUCAAUUUCUCUGUUGCUGCUAUACCUUUUUGAAUUCAUAUUAAGAGCUAAUUGCAGAUCUCAAGCCCAUUUUAAAAAUAUUAAAUUGUUUUCUGGAUAAGUUUAUUCCUUUUUAUUGAAAUUUUCCACAGGAAAAUGUUUACUUUUUUGGAUCAAUUACAGAUAUUGAAAAUUGGAGUUCAUUCCUUUAUGUCUUCAAGAGGGGCUUAUUGAGCAGUUACCGUGUGCCAGGCCUGUCCUAGGCACCAGGGGGAUGGUGGUGAACCAGACAGAGAGAGUCUGCUUUCAUGGAGCUCACAUUCUAGUGGAGGGUGGAAAAAAAUAGUAGGCAGACAAAUAAAGCAAUUGCCAGGUAUUAAAUAUUGUGUAGAAAAUUCAUCAGGGUACUGAUUUUAAAAGGUUCUGGGAAGAGGUUUGUCAAGAAAGACUUCUCAAAGGAGGUCAGAUUUGAGUUGAAACUUGGAUAAUGAUAAGAAGCUAAAUACAGGAAUACCUGAGGGAAGAAUGUUCCAAGCAGAGGAAACAGCGGCCAAGGCCCUGAGGCAGGAAGAAGGUUGGUAAAUUUAAGAAACAGAAGAAAGAUUAAUGUGGCUUGAAUCUAGCAAGUGAUGGAGAGAAUGGGCAAAGCCAAGAAGGAAGAGAAGGAAAUGACCAGAUCAUUUAGGACCUUGUAGGUUAUGGAUUUUAUCCUAAGAUUAAAGAGAAGUCAUCAGAAAAUUUUAAGUAGGAAGAUGUCUUGAAAAGACCAGUCUGGCUGCAGUGUUGGAAAAUGGAUUUAGGAGAGAAAGAAUAGUUAGGGGGUCAAUGUAGUAGUGUAGAUAACAGAGGAAUUUGAAACAAGGUGGAACAGUGAAAUGGAGAAAAGUAGGUCGAUUCGGCAUGUGCUUUGGAGGGAGAGCCUAUAGGACCUUAGGAUGUUUGGAUGGAUAUAGAACAUGAAGGAAAGAGAGGGAUUAAGGAUAACCUCUAGGUGUUUGGCUUGAAAGAUGUGGUGAUACUAUUGAGAUAAAACUGGAGAGUAAGAGAGGAACAGUUGAGUGGGAAUGAAGAAUCCGUUUUAACAUAUUAAGUUUAAGAGGCAUAUUGGAAUAAAAUUAGGUAAUAAUUAUAUAAUAAUCUAAUACGAUGCAACUGUUAUAAAAAAUCCGUAUUAAACUUUCAAAUGUAGGUGUUAAGUCACAGUUAAGACAAUUAAAUUCAACCGCAGUUCUUGAGCACCCAAUUGAGCUUGGUACUAAGAGUGAUCAAAAUGAACAAGACAGUAUCUCCACCCUCAGCAACUUCCCAUCUACUGCAAGAUUCAGAUAAAUAGAUGAGACCAGAGAUUGGCCAACUGCAGCUCCUGGGCCAAUCCAGUGGCCCUGUUUUUGUACUGCCCUUGACCUAAGAAUGGCUUUUACAUUUUGAAGCAUUGUAGAAAGAAGGAAAUAAAGGAAGGAAGAAAGGAAGGACAACAGGAAGGACAACGUAAGAAAAAUAUGCAACAGAAAAUGAAUUGAAAUAAAUUCCACCACCACCGCCACCAAUAAUAACAACAACAAAACAGAGGACGAGAGCCUAUAUUGAGUAAUAUUGCGUUGAGUCAUUUCAACAUUUAAAUAAUAUGUGCUCCUCAUUGUGCUGGGAAUUAAAUAAAUAGAAGUCUCAAGGCUAAUUUUGUUCAUUGUGUUCAUACUAGUUUUAUAAUGUUUUCACUCCUGAGUACCUAGCAUUCCCACAGCAUUCUGUACUUCUGUUGCCAUAACACUUAUUGCAUUGUUUUAAAAUUUUGCAAUUACCUGGAAUUGCUCAUCGCCUCAUAAGCAAUGAGCGAGCAGGGCUGUGGCGCAUUCGCUUUGAGUCCUGAGUCCCUAGAACAGGGCUCAGCACACAGGAGAUGCCCAGUGUCUUUUUCUUAAAUAUAUAGUAAGAGUCAAGAUACGUUCUCUGAACGACAGGGAUGUUCAGUUUUGUUUUCACACAGAGGCGUGGGUUUCUUAGCCCUGGAGAUGGACUCUAAUUUUGCUGAUGGCGUUGACCCUAUAGAGAGAAAAAUGAUAAGACACCUUUGCUCUGAUUCCUGCACGGUUACUGGUCGUUCACUACAAGUCCCCAAACUCCUGAGCCCUUCGUCUUUAGUUUCCUUGCUCUGCACAAGGAUCAGGACCACGAGGCAAUUUUAUUCUAGGUUAAUAAUUGGUAAUAACAGCUCCAAUUAAAAAUAAAUAAGGUGAGAAGCACGAACCACCUUUUGGAAUGUGAUAUCUCAGCAGAAGGACACCCUGGACAGAAAACCACCCUCCUUCCCCAGAGAAGCAGCUGCCUCCUUGAGAGUGAACACAAAGGGAGUGUGAGGGUCGAGUGGACUCUGCAUUUGUAGCCAGGUUAGUUGCCCCUCAGUGAUCAAUGAGAUAUCGAAUAUUGGUGCCAGCUUGCUUUCACAGCUACUCUGGGGAAAUACACUGGUUUAAAGAAAAUACAAGUUAUCAAUUAUGCCAUCAACUACAGAUAACCAUUGUUAUCAUUUUUGUGUAUAUCCUUCCAGGUUUUUCUAUUUACUUUUUAAAUGGGAUUAUGCUGUAAUAUGUUUUAUAAUCGUUUUUCUUUUAAAAAUCUAGUACAAACAUUUCCAUAUAGCAUUAUGUAUUUUCCCAUAAAUUAUUUUUUAAUUGAUUUCUUCUCUGAUCUUUAUUUUUUCCUUUCUUCUACUUACUUUGUGCUUAUUCAUUCUUCUUUUUCUAGUUUCUCAGAUAAAGCUUAGGUGAUUGCUUUGAGACUUUUCUAAUAUAUGUGUAUAGUGCUAUAAAUUGAUCUCUAUUAAAUCUCAUCCUGCAAAUUUUGAUAUGUUGUGUUUUCAUUUUCAUUCUAGUAAAAAUACUUUCCAAUUUCCCUUUUGAUUUAUUUUUUGACCCAUGGGUUGCUUAGAAGUAUAUUAUUUGGUUUCCAAAUAUCUGGGAUUUUUUUCAGAGGCUUUUCCACUAUUCAUUUUUAAUUGUGGUCAGAGACGGUACUUUGUAUGACCUGAACCCUUUACAAUGUGCUGAGACUUGUUUUAUGGCUCAAAAUAUGGUCUGUCUGGUAAAUGUUUUACAUUCACUUAAAAAAAUGUAUAUUUUACAAUCAUUGCAUGAAGUAUCCUAUAAAUGAAUUCAAUUAGGUCAAUCUGUCUGACAGUACUGUUUAGGUCUUCUCUAACCUUACUGGUUUUCUAUUUAUUUGUUCUAUCACUUAUUGAGAGAAGGGUAUUGAAAUUUCUCACUAUUUUGCUGUAAAUUUUUCUGUUUAUACUGCAGUUCUAUCAGUUUUUACUUCUGUAUUUUGAAGCUCUGCUAUUAAAUGCAUAAAUAUUUAGGAAUAUUAUCUCUUCUUAAUCAGCAUUUUGACCCCUUUAUCAUUAUAAAAUGACCCUCUUUAUCUCUAGAUUUAUUGGUCUGAAAUACUUUGUCUUAUAACAAUAUAGGCACUCUGGCUUUCCUUUGAUUAGUGUUAGCAUGAUAUAUCUUUUUUCCAUCCUUUUACUUUUAACUUAUUUGUGUUUCUUUACUUAGAGUGAGUUUCUUGAAGUCUGCAUUUGGUCGGACAUAUUUAAUUAUUUAAUUCAAUAUGACAAUCUCUGCCUUUUAAUUGGAGUGAUUAGACCAUCUACAUUCAAUGUGAUUAUAAAUUGGGUACAAAUCGUCCAUCUUGCCAUUUUUUUCCUAUUUUUCCCAUCUGUUUUUCUUGUUGUUGUUCCCUUCUUCCUCUUUUUUCUGCGUUUUUGGGGUUAUGGUUACAUUUUAUCUCAUUUUCCAUUACAUUUUACCCCUUUUGCUCGAUUAUUAGCCAUGAUUAGCUGUAACUUUUUGUUGUGUAUUUUAGUGGUUGCUUUGGGCUUGAUAGCAUCUAUCUUUAACUUUUGUCACUGUCUACCUUCAAGUGGUAUUGUACCACUUCACAUGUGGUAUCAGAAUCUGAAAACCACAUACUUCCAUUUCUUUUCCUCUCUCCAACGUUUGUGCUAUUGUUGUUGUAUCUUUUACUUCUACUUAUGUUAUACACGCUACAGUGCCCUGUUAUUGUUAAUUAUCUUUUAAAGAGAUAUAAAUAAUAGGAAAAAUAGGCAUUAUAUUUACUCAUCGAGUUACCAUUUCCGGUGCUCUUAGUUCCUUUGCGUAGAUCCAGGUUUCCGUCUGGCAUCAUUUUCCUUCUGCCUCAAGGACUUUUAUAUUUCUUGUAGUGUAGGUCUACUAGUGAUAUAUUCUUUCAGCUUUUGUAUGUCUGAAAAAGUCUUUAUUUGACUUUAAUUUUUAAAUUUUAGAAUAAUUUGAGAUUUACAGAAAAGUUAUAAAAAUAAUAGAGAGCACUCUCAUAUGCUCCUCACACAGUUUCCCCUGAUGCCAAUACCAUGGUACUCCUGUCAAACUAAGAAACCAACAGUGACACAUUACUAUAGUCUAAACUGUAGAUUUUAUCCAAAGUUCACUUGUUUUUCCACUAAUAUUCUCUUCCUGUUCCAGGAUCCCAACUAGAAUCCCGCAUGGCAUUGGGCCAUCAUGUACUCUUGGUCUCAUCUGGUUUGUGACAGUUUCUCAGCCUUUCUUUGUUUUUCAUGACCUUAACAGUUUUGGGGAGUACUGGUCAGGUAUUUCACAGAAUGUUCCUCAAUUUGGUGUUGUCUGAUGUUUUUUUCAUGACCAGGGUCAUGGGUUUCUGGGAAGAAUACUACAGAGGUGAAUACCUUCUUAUCAUAUCAUAUCAGGGGUACGUUCUAUCCACAUGACUCCUCACUGGUGAUGUUAACCUCAUCACUUGGUUAAGGUGGUGUUUAAGGUAGUGUAAGGUAGGGUAAGGUAGUGUUAGGUAGCUUUCUGCACUGUAAAGUGACUAUUUUCCCCUUUGCCUACUCUGUUCUUUGGUGGCAACUCACUAAGUCCAGCUCAAGCUCAAGAAAGAGCAAGGAGGAAUAUCUACUUAAAUUGUUUGUAAUAGUAUUUUUUCUGUAAGGAAAAUUCACCUCUUCUCUCCCAUUUAAAAAUUUAUGUUAUCAUUUAUUUAUAUCAGCAUGGUAGACUGAAUGGUUGACUUCCAAAGAUAUCCAUGUCCUAACUCUGUAAAGAUAUUACCUUACAUGGAAAAAGGAAUUUUGUGCAUGUGACUAAGUUAGGGAACCUGAAAUGGGAGGUUAUCCUGGUUUAUCUGGAUGGGCCCAAUGAAAUCAUAGGGUCCUUAUAAGAGGGAGGUAGGAGGGUCAGAUUCAGAGAAAGAGCCAAAGGAAGCAGAGAUUGGAGUGAUUGGGGCAGCCUCGAGAAGCUGGAGAAGGCAAGGAUUCUCCUCUGGAUCCU